CCUACGGGUGGCAGCAGUCGAGAAUCAUUCACAAUGGGGGAAACCCUGAUGGUGCGACGCCGCGUGGGGGAAUGAAGGUCUUCGGAUUGUAAACCCCUGUCAUGUGGGAGCAAAUUAAAAAGAUAGUACCACAAGAGGAAGAGACGGCUAACUCUGUGCCAGCAGCCGCGGUAAUACAGAGGUCUCAAGCGUUGUUCGGAAUCACUGGGCGUAAAGCGUGCGUAGGAUGUUUCGUAAGUCGGGUGUGAAAGGCCGGGGCUCAACCCGCGGACGGCACAUGAUACUGCGAGACUAGAGUGAUGGAGGGGGAACCGGAAUUCUCGGUGUAGCAGUGAAAUGCGUAGAUAUCGAGAGGAACACUCGUGGCGAAGGCGGGUUCCUGGACAUUAACUGACGCUGAGGCACGAAGGUCAGGGGAGCGAAAGGGAUUAGAUACCCGAGUAGUC
rnacentral:rRNA from 1 species